rnacentral:rRNA from 1 species
UCUGGCUCAGAUUGAACGCUGGCGGCAGGCUUAACACAUGCAAGUCGAGCGGGCGAGGUUACUUCGGUAACUGAGCUAGCGGCGGACGGGUGAGUAAUGCUUAGGAAUCUGCCUAUUAGUGGGGGACAACAUUCCGAAAGGAAUGCUAAUACCGCAUACGCCCUACGGGGGAAAGCAGGGGAUCUUCGGACCUUGCGCUAAUAGAUGAGCCUAAGUCAGAUUAGCUAGUUGGUGGGGUAAAGGCCUACCAAGGCGACGAUCUGUAGCGGGUCUGAGAGGAUGAUCCGCCACACUGGGACUGAGACACGGCCCAGACUCCUACGGGAGGCAGCAGUGGGGAAUAUUGGACAAUGGGCGAAAGCCUGAUCCAGCCAUGCCGCGUGUGUGAAGAAGGCCUUUUGGUUGUAAAGCACUUUAAGCGAGGAGGAGGCUACCGAGAUUAAUACUCUUGGAUAGUGGACGUUACUCGCAGAAUAAGCACCGGCUAACUCUGUGCCAGCAGCCGCGGUAAUACAGAGGGUGCGAGCGUUAAUCGGAUUUACUGGGCGUAAAGCGUGCGUAGGCGGCUUUUUAAGUCGGAUGUGAAAUCCCUGAGCUUAACUUAGGAAUUGCAUUCGAUACUGGGAAGCUAGAGUAUGGGAGAGGAUGGUAGAAUUCCAGGUGUAGCGGUGAAAUGCGUAGAGAUCUGGAGGAAUACCGAUGGCGAAGGCAGCCAUCUGGCCUAAUACUGACGCUGAGGUACGAAAGCAUGGGGAGCAAACAGGAUUAGAUACCCUGGUAGUCCAUGCCGUAAACGAUGUCUACUA